GACCUGUGCCCCACUGCUUCGUGGGUCUCAACAAACAGGGCCCAGGAGGUUGCCUUUGCAUCCGCGGUAGUCUGG
rnacentral:ribozyme from 1 species